GCCUCCCUCUGGCGGCGUGCUUAACACAUGCAAGUCGAACGGUGAAGCGCCUUCCUUUUUGGUGGGUGUGGAUGAGUGGCGAACGGGUGAGUAACACGUGAGUAACCUGCCCCCUUCUUCUGGAUAACCGCAUGAAAGUGUGGCUAAUACGGGAUAUUCUGGGUCUGUCGCAUGAUGGGUCUGGGAAAGAUAUUGUUUCGGUGGGGGAUGGGCUCGCGGCCUAUCAGCUUGUUGGUGGGGUGAUGGCCUACCAAGGCGGUGACGGGUAGCCGGCCUGAGAGGGUGGACGGUCACACUGGGACUGAGACACGGCCCAGACUCCUACGGGAGGCAGCAGUGGGGAAUAUUGCACAAUGGGCGCAAGCCUGAUGCAGCGACGCCGCGUGAGGGAUGGAGGCCUUCGGGUUGUGAACCUCUUUCGCCAGUGAAGCAGGCCUGCCUCGUUUGUGGGUGGGUUGACGGUAGCUGGAUAAGAAGCGCCGGCUAACUACGUG
rnacentral:rRNA from 1 species